CUCCCCAGGCUCCCUAGCCGAGGGGACCACAUGCUGCUCCCACACGCUCCCCCCCACCCCCCCGCAGCCGGUGAUGGUGGCCGCAGUCCCCGUGCCGCUGAGGUGACUCCCAGCAUGUGGUCUGCAGUCCCAUCUGGGCCCCGCGGCUUCCUGACUGUGCCUUGACCUCCAGGUCUGCACCAGAAGCCAGCGGUGUGAACAGUACUUUCCUUGGGUGCCCGGGAGAUUUGCAUGCAAAACCCUACAUAGGUGCCGGGGCAGAGUGGCGCGGCAGCUUGUCUAUCCGCUUUUACCGCGGUGGGGACAGAUGGACAGAUGGGUCAGGAUACACACAGCCCACGCUGGUCACCCUGCCCCCACACGGCCCCGAGGAGGAGGUGGCUCCACACUCCGGCCUCUGUGUACCCCAGCUGGCUUCACUGCUGUUCGCUUCCCCACCCCGGAACCCUCCAACUUCACAAAGCUCCUAACCAGCCACGCCACCCUCCACGGUCUUGAUCAGGCAGUCCAGAGGAUGGCCUAAAGAAAUCUGCUCCCAACGGGCCUGGGGGACCGAGUGUGAUGCCACACGCCUGAAAUCUCAGCAUUGCCGAGGCUGUGGCAGGAAGAUCCCCGCGAGCUCGAGGCCCGCCUGUACUACACAGUGAGUUCAAGGCCAGCCUGAACUACAGAGAGAGAGAGAGGUUUUUUCCAUGGCAACUCCAGUGAGUCACAGACAUCCACGACAUCCAGGGCUGAGGGAUGUGUCCUGUCCGAAAUGCAACUCCCCGGACUCCUGUCUUUGGCCUGAGAAGCACAAUCUUAAAGCACAAUCUUCGGGGAGACAGCCAAGUGGGAGGCACGCGGGUCCCCGUCCCCAGAAGGGCCUGCUUCCUGUGUCUUCGUGGGCCCCAGCACCCAUUCCAAGUUGUUGUCCUUUUGUUAUGUUUUGCUCCCCUGCUCUGCUGGGGUUCCCCACCCCGAAUCCCAGGGGAUGUAUUUACACUAACAAAUUCCUGGCUGUUUAUCUGACAUUCAAACGCCA